rnacentral:rRNA from 1 species
UACGGGGGGGGCAAGCGUUGUUCGGAAUUACUGGGCGUAAAGGGCGCGUAGGCGGUCCGCUAAGUUGGAUGUGAAAACUCUGGGCUUAACCCAGAGCCUGCAUCCAAAACUGGCGGGCUAGAGUUCUGGAGGGGAUAGCGGAAUUCCUGGUGUAGCGGUGAAAUGCGUAGAUAUCAGGAGGAACACCAAUGGCGAAGGCAGCUCGCUGGGACGGUACUGACGCUGAGGAGCGAAAGCGUGGGGAGCAAACAGG